UAUACAACUUUCAGCAACGGAUCUCUUGGCUCUCGCAUCGAUGAAGAACGCAGCGAAAUGCGAUAAGUAAUGUGAAUUGCAGAAUUCAGUGAAUCAUCGAAUUUUUGAACGCACCUUGCGCUCCUUGGUAUUCCGAGGAGCAUGCCUGUUUGAGUGUCAUUAAAUUCUCA
rnacentral:rRNA from 1 species